GCUGGGCGUGGUGGCGUGCACCUGUAAUCCCAGCUACCCAGGAGGCUGAGGCAGGAGAAUUGCUUGAACCUAGGAGAUGGAGGUUGCAGUGAGCCAAGAUCACACCACUGUACUCCAGCCUUGGUGACAGAGCAAGAUUCUGUCUCAA
rnacentral:SRP_RNA from 1 species